GCUCUCACCGCGCUCUGAGUCUCGGCCGCCAUGGCGCACGCGCAGUUCGGCUGCAUGCAGAGUUCGGAGGCCCAGCUGGCGCCCGCCUUCCUUCUCCUGCAGACGGCUCAUGGCUCAUCGUUAUCUGCCCCUGCUCAGCGCUUUCAGCCACGAAAGAGAGAGUGGCCAACACCAGGACAGUAGGGAGAAGACGAAGGCCUCUUCAAGUGGAGCAGGGCUGGUGAAGAUGGCCAAUCUAUGCCCCGUGUCAAGGACAGCGUUGGAAGCGUGACUCCUGCAGCCCUCCUUCCGGAGGUGCCGUCUAAGAGGU
rnacentral:lncRNA from 1 species